AGUCACUCCGUGUGCAUUACGUGGCCCGCGUAAUAAGAAACCUCCCUGCAACCCAGCAACGACUUCACCCAAUCCUAUAAACACAUCAUCUCACCAUAGAAGUCCAUUUGCAUUCUCUCUCUCUCUGCUUUCUUUUCUCUCGACCAAAUUCCAUUUUUUAAAAUCUUCUGCAUAUUCCCGACCUUUAUAUAUCUUCUGCAAAUUCAACAGAGGUCACACAGGAUCAUCAAUGGAGACCCGUACUAUAGAAGUAACUUUGAUAUCCGCUCGCGAUAUACAGGAUGUGAAUUUGUUCUCCAAAUCGAAGGUCUAUGCCGUGGCAUGGAUCAAAGGCGACCCUCGGGCCUCGAAGCAAAGGACGGUCUCAGACAAGGAGAACGGCACAAACCCUACCUGGAACAAACCCUUGACCUUCACAGUCGAUGAGGCGGCGCUUCAGCAGGGGCGUCUGGUCCUAGAAGUGGAGAUCCGCACAGAGGCGACAUUUGGGGACAAGGAAGUAGGGCAUGUAUCGGUACCCAUGAAGGAAUUUCUCAACAAGAAGCCUCCCGGCGGCGUAGAUUUCGUGGCUUACCAGGUGCGCAAACCCUCGGGGAAGGCCAAGGGCACGCUCAAUUUAUCAGUCAAGCUGAACAAUCCGGCGCAAGUUAAACAGCCGGUGUACGAGCCCACUUCCUUUCAGUACCCUGCUAAUGGCAGCGCUGCCCCUGCAUAUGGCAGCGCUCCUCCAGCAUAUGGCAGCGCUGCCCCAGCAUAUGGCGCCACAGCCACAGCCACAGCCCCUGCACAGAAAGAGGGCAAGAAUGAGCCUGUGACUGCAUACCCAGCCUACCCGCCGCCUGGAUCUUCUUCUUCUUCCUCAUACCCGCCGCCAGCAGCAUACCCACCGCCGCCUCCUGGUCCGCCUGCAGGCUAUCCCCAUUACCCUCCGCCUCCACCUGCGGGUUACCCCCAGUACCCUCCACCUGGUGGGCAUUAUCAUCCGCAACAGGGUUACCCUCCCCACAAUCAGGGUGGUUACCCCCCUUACAAUCAGGGUGGCUACCCUCCCUACAAUCAGGGUUACCCUCCUGUUCAGCAGCAGCCGCCGAAGAAGAACAAGAUGGGAUUGGGACUAGGCGCCGGGCUGCUUGGUGGUGCCCUCGGAGGGCUGUUGAUUGGUGACAUGAUUGGCGAUGGCUUCGGCGAUGGCUUCGGCGAUGGAGGGGAUUUUGGCGGUGAUUUCUAAUAAGAUCUGCUAAAUUACUGAAACAAAUUUUGUACUUCUUCUUCUGGGGACUUCUCGCCUCAUCCUGCUGGGUUAGGGUUAGCAGUGGCAUGAUCGAGCAGUAAGUCCUCCCCUAUCAUAUGCGGGGUUGGGGUCUGUGUUUAGUAUAGUCCAGUGAGGAGUUCUUGGCCUAUGCACCGUCGAGACACUAGGGAAGGUGUUAUCAUGAUGCUGGUAUAGAAUUUCUGAGCACUAAAGGUACUAGGGAUAUGAAGAAUGGUGUUUCUGGUCUUCAUAAGACAUAUGGUGCCUUGUUCAUAUUCCUGAACGCCAAGUUAUAUCAUUUACCAUAGCAGGAGGAUUGAGUAGGCAUCAACAGAUCCCUUUUAACUGGCAUUACAUCAGAUUGGGAGGAUGGAAGAAUUUGUUUUGUAUUGUUAGCAGUGGAUGGUUCAUGGUGGUAUAAGUCACUGCAUGACUGAACUGUACGCAAUCGGGUCUAUGUUGCAUAUGGUCACAUCCAGCUAGUAUAAUACAAUCUAAUCUAUAGAAAAGGUCUAUGAUCUAGCACAUGUUAUUAUGUUUGUCCAAUUGCAAAAACAUUACUGUAGUCUUUUACUCUCGCUGCUUUCGAAUUUGAUUGAUGCAAAAAUUCAUGCAAUCAAAUCCGCAAAGCAACGGGAAAUGUCUCAUAGAUUUGGAAAUCUUUUUUUAUCAUUGUGGAUUAUCUGCGUAACCCCAUCAUGAGAUGAGGUUGAACUAUAUUUAUAAUUUCUUCAGGUUACAAAUUGUAGCCCUCUUCAAAAAUUAGCCAAGAGAUGAUUAUGAUUUAUAAUUUAUCUAGAUUACAAAUUUUUGUAAUCCUCUUGC